rnacentral:rRNA from 1 species
GACGAACGCUGGCGGCGUGCUUGACGCAUGCAAGUCGAACGGAAAGGCCUGCUUUCCCUUGUGGAUUGCGGGUACUCGAGUGGCGAACGGGUGAGUAACACGUGAGUGAUCUGCCCCCAACUUGGGUAUAAGCCUGGGAAACUGGGUCUAAUUCCCGAUAGGACUGCAGGGUGGUGCCUGUGGUGGAAAACGAUUUUCUAGUGGUUGGGGAUGAGCUCGCGGCCUAUCAGCUUGUUGGUGGGGUAAUGGCCUACCAAGGCGGCGACGGGUAGCCGGCCUGAGAGGGUGGACGGCCACAUUGGGACUGAGAUACGGCCCAGACGCCUACGGGAGGCAGCAGUGGGGAAUAUUGCACAAUGGGCGGAAGCCUGAUGCAGCGACGCCGCGUGGGGGAUGACGGCCUUCGGGUUGUAAACUCCUUUCGACCGCGAGGAAGCCACCUGGUUGGAAGGGUGGUGACGGUAGUGGUAGAAGAAGCACCGGCUAACUACGUG